CCUCCUGGUCUGGAAAAUUCAGGUCAACUAGGAUGCAGUCCCCUUCAAGAAAACUACCUCCUAGGAGCCCAGCCCAGAAGUUGGCAAAUUCUGAGAUAGGAGAGAGUUUCAUCUCCUGUCAGUGCCCUAUUUUGCUGCUCCAAGUGCUGGGUUUGGAGCUACAGGAAGGGAUAACCCAAAGCUACUGGCCUGGGUAACUAAAGGAUGAAACUAAAUGGGCCAGGCAUGAGGAUGUUGGAAUAUUUAUCUAAUUCCCCCCUGAGAGCUCAGUCCAGGCCUAGGAGCUGCCCUGAGCAUGCACAUAUCUGUACCUGUGUUUAGGCCUAGGGUAAGGACGGGGUGGAAAAAUGGAGAAUAGAAUAAACAUAUAAAGAGCAGAGGGCCCAAAGCAUGGCCCAAGGGAACCUUUCUGCAGGGACAGGUUUCUCAGGGUCUACAUUUUCUCCUGGGCCAUAAAAAGCUCUGAGCUUCUACCCCUGAGGAUAGAAACCAAGUGUGGAGGAAGGCCAGUGAGAGACCAGGAGGAUCCUGC
rnacentral:lncRNA from 1 species